UUUUGGACAAUGGGGGAAACCCUGAUCCAGCCAUCCCGCGUGUAUGACGAAGGCCUUCGUGUUGUAAAGUACUUUUGGCAGAGAAGAAAUGUCAUCCCCUAAUACGGGAUACUGCUGACGGUAUCCGCAGAAUAUGCACUGGCUAACCACGUGCCAGUCGCCGCGGUAAUACGUAGGGUGCAAUCGUUAAUCGGAAUUACUGGGCGUAAAGCGUGUGUAGGCAGUUCGGAAAGAAAGAUGUGAGAUCCCAGGGCUCAACCUUGGAACUGCAUUUUUAACUGCCGAGCUAGAGUAUGUCAGAGGGGGGUAGAAUUCCACGUGUAGCAGUGAAAUGCGUAGAUAUGUGGAGGAAUACCGAUGGCGAAGGCAGCCCCCUGGGAUAAUACUGACGCUCAGACACGAAAGCGUGGGGAGCAAACAAG
rnacentral:rRNA from 1 species